UCACCUCUUCCCAUCCCGAACAGAGAAGUUAAGCCCCUCAUGGCCGAUGGUACUGCACAACAAUGCGGGAGAGUAGGUAGCUGCCAUAU
rnacentral:rRNA from 1 species